rnacentral:tRNA from 1 species
GACUGGACAGCCUAGUGGUCAAAGGCAGCGCUUCUAGCAAAGAGGUCCCAGGUUCGAAUCCUGGUCUAGUCA